AUGUUUCUUACUCCUUGCAUAAUCUUGACGACUUCUCCAAAUAACAUGUCCAACAUAUUCUUCAGUGUACAAAUUGGUGGAGUAUUACCUGCCUAUGAGAUCACAUCACCAAAAUACUUCCAAUUAAAGGUAAAAGAAGAAAUGAGAUUACAUCCCCAUAAUAUUUCACAUCCAAUGCCAAAUACACCAAUUCAUAGUUGGCUCACAAUACUGCAUCAAUUGCACAUGAGAUUCAAAAGUAUUAUGAUGUAG